rnacentral:rRNA from 1 species
CCUACGGGAGGCAGCAGUGGGGAAUAUUGCACAAUGGGGGAAACCCUGAUGCAGCGACGCCGCGUGAGUGAAGAAGUAUCUCGGUACGUAAAGCUCUAUCAGCAGGGAAGAAAAUCACGGCACCUGACUAAGAAGCCCCGUCUAACUACGUGCCAGCAGCCGCGGUAAUCCGUAGGGGGCAAGCGUUAUCCGGAUUUACCGGGUGUAAAGGGAGCGUAGGCGGCAGCACAAGUCUGGAGUGAAAUCCCGGGGCUUAACCCCCGAACUGCCUUGGAAACUGUGCGGCUGGAGUGCAGGAGGGGUAAGCGGAAUUCCUGGUGUAGCGGUGAAAUGCGUAGAUAUUAGGAGGAACACCGAUGGCGAAGGCGGCUUACUGGACUGUAACUGACGUUGAGGCUCGAAAGCGUGGGGAGCAAACAGGAUUAGAUACCCUGGUAGUC